rnacentral:rRNA from 1 species
GCAAGGCUAAAACUCAAAUGAAUUGACGGGGACCCGCACAAGCAGUGGAUCAUGUGGUUUAAUUCGAUGCAACGCGAAAAACCUUACCUACUCUUGACAUACUUGGACGCUCUUGUAAUGNGAGUGUGCCUUUUGGAACCAAGAUACAGGUGCUGCAUGGCUGUCGUCAGCUCGUGUCGUGAGAUGUUCCGUUAAGUCGGAUAACGAGCGCAACCCUUACCCUUAUUUGCCAGCGAUUCGGUCGGGAACUAUAAGGGGACUGCCGGUGAUAAACCGGAGGAAGGUGAGGACGACGUCAAGUCAUCAUGGCCCUUACGAGUAGGGCUACACACGUGAUACAAUGGGAGAGACAGACGGACGCUAAAGCGCGAGGUGGUGCUAAUCCCAUAAAACCAGUCGUAGUCCGGAUCGCAGUCUGCAACUCGACUCCGUGAAGUCGGAAUCGCUAGUAAUCGCGGAUCAGAAUGUCGCGGUGAAUACGUUCCCGGGUCUUGUACACACCGCCC